rnacentral:rRNA from 1 species
CCUACUUACUUGGAUAACCGUGGUAAUUCUAGAGCUAAUACAUGCUAAAAACCUCAACUUCGGAAGGGGUGUAUUUAUUAGAUAAAAAACCAAUGCCCUUCGGGGCUCCCUGGUGAUUCAUAAUAACUAAACGAAUCGCAUGGCCUUGCGCCGGCGAUGGUUCAUUCAAAUUUCUGCCCUAUCAACUUUCGAUGGUAGGAUAGUGGCCUACCAUGGUGGCAACGGGUAACGGGGAAUUAGGGUUCUAUUCCGGAGAGGGAGCCUGAGAAACGGCUACCACAUCCAAGGAAGGCAGCAGGCGCGCAAAUUACCCAAUCCCGACACGGGGAGGUAGUGACAAUAAAUACUGAUGUGGAGCUCUUUAGGGUUUCACAAUUGGAAUGAGAAAAAUCUAAACCACUUAAACGAGGAACAAUUGGAGGGCAAGUCUGGUGCCAGCAGCCGCGGUAAUUCCAGCUCCAAUAGCGUAUAUUAAAGUUGUUGCAGUUAAAAAGCUCGUAGUUGAACCUUGGGCCUGGCCGGCCGGUCCGCCUCACCGCGUGCACUGGUUCGGCCGGGCCUUUCCUCCUGGGGGAACCGCAUGCCCUUUACUGGGUGUGCCGGGGAAUCAGGACUUUUACUUUGAAAAAAUUAGAGUGUUCAAAGCAGGCAUUUGCUCGAAUACAUUAGCAUGGAAUAAUAGAAAUAGGACGUUGUGGUYCUAUUUUUGUUGGUUUCUAGGACCGCCGUAAUGAUWAAUAGGGACG